rnacentral:rRNA from 1 species
UGGGGAAUAUUGGGCAAUGGGCGCAAGCCUGACCCAGCCAUGCCGCGUGAGUGAUGAAGGCCUUCGGGUCGUAAAGCUCUGUGGGGAGGGACGAAACCACCAGUCGCUAAUACCGACGGGUCUUGACGGUACCUCCUUAGCAAGCACCGGCUAACUCCGUGCCAGCAGCCGCGGUAAUACGGAGGGUGCAAACGUUGCUCGGAAUCAUUGGGCGUAAAGCGCACGUAGGCGGCCCGCUAAGUCGGAUGUGAAAUCCCUCGGCUCAACCGAGGACGUGCAUUCGAUACUGGCAGGCUUGAGUAUGGAAGAGGGUCGCGGAAUUCCCGGUGUAGAGGUGAAAUUCGUAGAUAUCGGGAGGAACACCAGUGGCGAAGGCGGCGACCUGGGCCAAUACUGACGCUGAGGUGCGAAAGCGUGGGGAGCAAACAG